rnacentral:rRNA from 1 species
CCUACGGGUGGCAGCAGUGAGGAAUAUUGGUCAAUGGCCGGAAGGCUGAACCAGCCAAGUCGCGUGAGGGAAUAAGGCCCUAUGGGUCGUAAACCUCUUUUGUCAGGGAGCAAAGGCGUCCACGAGUGGACGAAAGGAGAGUACCUGAAGAAAAAGCAUCGGCUAACUCCGUGCCAGCAGCCGCGGUAAUACGGGGGAUGCGUGCGUUAUCCGGAUUUAUUGGGUUUAAAGGGUGCGUAGGCGGAUUGUCAAGUCAGCGGUAAAAGUUCGGGGCUCAACCCCGUCGUGCCGAUGAAACUGACAGCCUUGAGUGAGUGAGAAGUAAGCGGAAUGCGUGGUGUAGCGGUGAAAUGCAUAGAUAUCACGCAGAACGCCGAUGGCGAAGGCAGCUUACCGGAGCUCAACUGACGCUGAGGCACGAAGGUGCGGGUAUCGAACAGGAUUAGAUACCCGUGUAGUC